rnacentral:tRNA from 2 species
GGGGGUAUGGCUCAGUGGCUGAGAACAGGCUUAGCAUGCAUGAGACCCUGGGUUCAAUCCCCAGUACCUCCA